rnacentral:rRNA from 1 species
GAUUCGUCACACUAUCAUUAACUGAAUCCAUAGGUUAAUGAGGCGAACCGGGGGAACUGAAACAUCUAAGUACCCCGAGGAAAAGAAAUCAACCGAGAUUCCCCCAGUAGCGGCGAGCGAACGGGGAGGAGCCCAGAGCCUGAAUCAGCAUGUGUGUUAGUGGAAGCGUCUGGAAAGGCGCGCGAUACAGGGUGACAGCCCCGUACACAAAAGCGCAUGUGCUGUGAGCUCGAUGAGUAGGGCGGGACACGUGGUAUCCUGUCUGAAUAUGGGGGGACCAUCCUCCAAGGCUAAAUACUCCUGACUGACCGAUAGUGAACCAGUACCGUGAGGGAAAGGCGAAAAGAACCCCGGCGAGGGGAGUGAAAAAGAACCUGAAACCGUGUACGUACAAGCAGUGGGAGCACCCUUCGGGGUGUGACUGCGUACCUUUUGUAUAAUGGGUCAGCGACUUAUAUUCUGUAGCAAGGUU